rnacentral:lncRNA from 1 species
UGCUCUUUAACUCCCAGUACACUGCAUGAUGUUAUGACGUGGAAUACUGAUAACCAAAAAUCAUAAAACCAUGACACAAAUAUAGACAAAAUUCUUUUUUAAACAGUCAAAUUACUUAAUGGCUUUUUUCUUUACUCAACUGACUCCUGGUUUCUAAUUCAUUAGUGUAAUAUAUAUAUGAUGCUCUUCCCUCCUUUUUAAUUCUUUUUUCACUGCCAGUUAUUAGCCUUUGUAAUGAUACUGCACUGAACAAGACAGGCAGUUAUUCUGUGGCUCAUGAUCUAAUCAUGUAGCAAUUCAUAAAAUCAUAGAAUCCUUAGAGCUGGAAGGGACCUCUGAAGGCCAUCUAGUCCAGCUCCCCUGCAAU